rnacentral:rRNA from 2 species
CGCGAAAGCGUGGGGAGCAAACAGGAUUAGAUACCCUGGUAGUCCACGCCGUAAACGAUGAGUGCUAAGUGUUAGAGGGUUUUCCGCCCUUUAGUGCUGCAGCUAACGCAUUAAGCACUCCGCCUGGGGAGUACGGUCGCAAGACUGAAACUCAAAGGAAUUUGACGGGGGCCCGCACAAGCGGUGGAGCAUGUGGUUUUAAUUCGAAGCAACGCGAAGAACCUUACCAGGUCUUGACAUCCUCUGACAACUCUAGAGAUAGAGCGUUCCCCUUCGGGGGACAGAGUGACAGGUGGUGCAUGGUUGUCGUCAGCUCGUGUCGUGAGAUGUUGGGUUUAGUCCCGCAACGAGCGCAACCCUUGAUCUUAGUUGCCAGCAUUUAGUUGGGCACUCUAAGGUGACUGCCGGUGACAAACC